UCCCAUCUGGCAAAAUGGAACUGAUGUCUGUCCUCCUACAAAGGUCAAGUCUCUUUUUAUGCCAUAUAUUCCAGCCUUCUUAGGAAAGUCUCCACCAGGUGUGCGAGAGGAAAAGAGGCGGUGUUGAGCCACAUGGAGGACUUGAUGUGAUUCAUGUGUGCUUAGACAGUAAAAUCUGAGAGAAAAUUUGAAUUCUGAGACUCAUUAUAUUGAUUCACCAAGUACUUUCUAAAAUCAGGAAGACUGGAGAAACCUAAUCUUAAGUGCUGCCACUGGGACAAAGAAUAGGAACCAGACACAGUGCUGUUUUAGGGUGGGGCAGAAUUAUGCUGAGGGAAAAGUUAUUAUCACUCUUUAAGGCCAAGGAACCCACAAUUUUUAAAGAAGCUUCUAGAAAUUCUACCUAAUAGAAAAUAAAGAUAAACUUCUGUAAGGAAUUUCGUUCUUUUCAGAAUUCACAAUCUGAAAUGUAGAAGCUCAUUCCUUCAUGGUUCUCAUAGAUAUUUAGUGUGACUGAGGGGUCAGUGGAUCCAUAGCACUCAGGCCAGGCUUCUCCCGAGUCCUUUUCUUCGGCACAGAGGGAGUGACUCACAGAUCCUCUACCCCCAAAGGCGUUGUUUUCUCAUCUCAACAAGAAUCCUGCGGCUGUCAUUUUAUCAGCACAUGUCACUAGCUUCUCAAGUGAGACUACUCUUAAGUGAUCUGUGUUUGAAGAGUGUCUUUCCCUUUCUCUUCCGUAACUAAGAGGAUGAAAAAGUACACUCACUCCCUGUAUAAAAGCUGUGUGUUGUGAGCAGUCAUCUUGCCUGGCUGAGAACUCUAGGAUCAUUUUCUCUGCUCUCCGUUAGGCUGACACUCAUAGCCAGUCCUUCUGUUUAUUAGCCCUCUGAAUCUAUUUGAAAAUACUUUUGCUUUCAUUAUAACAUAAGUCACAUUCUUCUUGCAUCUGCCACUGCAUUUUCCAAAAGGGUUGUGUCAAGGGAAAUUCAACACUCACCGUUCUCAUUAUUUGCCCACCAGCUUGCUCACUCAUCAAAAGACCAGAGUUAUUUGAUACUUCAGAAGAGUAUUUCCCCCCUUAGAUGAUGUGUCAAGGGAAAGGGAGCUGGCCCCAGUGUCAGGUGACAGAAUUUUCUUCACAUUUCUGCUGUUGACUCAAUAAAUGUCCUUGGGC